AGUGAACGCUGGCGGUAGGCCUAACACAUGCCAGUCGAACGGCAGCACAGUAAGAGCUUGCUCUUACGGGUGGCGAGUGGCGGACGGGUGAGGAAUACAUCGGAAUCUACUUUUUCGUGGGGGAUAACGUAGGGAAACUUACGCUAAUACCGCAUACGACCUACGGGUGAAAGCAGUGGAUCUUCGGACCUUGCGCGAUUGAAUGAGCCGAUGUCGGAUUAGCUAGUUGGCGGGGUAAAGGCCCACCAAGGCGACGAUCCGUAGCUGGUCUGAGAGGAUGAUCAGCCACACUGGAACUGAGACACGGUCCAGACUCCUACGGGAGGCAGCAGUGGGGAAUAUUGGACAAUGGGCGCAAGCCUGAUCCAGCCAUACCGCGUGGGUGAAGAAGGCCUUCGGGUUGUAAAGCCCUUUUGUUGGGAAAGAAAAGCAGCAGGUUAAUACCCCGCUGUUCUGACGGUACCCAAAGAAUAAGCACCGGCUAACUUCGUG
rnacentral:rRNA from 1 species